rnacentral:lncRNA from 1 species
CAGCUCGGUGCCUGCUUGUUGGAGCCGCCCUAGAUCGGCCGCCCCGACUUCCUCCGGCCUCUGGCGACCUCCGGCGCACCUCCCCGUCGCCCCCGCGCACCUCCGGCCGCCGCUCGGGCAGCCUGCUGCUGUCCAGACCGGAUCGGGCCAAGUCUGGGCGCACUCGACCUCCGCGCGUCGCCGCCGCCCACCGACGGACGCGCUGCCACCUCUUGGACCUCCAGCGACCUCCAGUUGCCGCCGGCGACCUCC